rnacentral:snoRNA from 1 species
UCGGCUUUCUUUUAUUUAUUUUUUUCAUUUUUUCUUAAAUUUAAAAUAUAUAGCUAUACAGCAAUCUCCCUCUCAAUUUAGGAGGGCCGUCUUAAGACUAGAGCUCGCUCUAAAGGCACGAGAAAACAAU